rnacentral:tRNA from 1 species
CGGGGUGUAGUACAGUCCGGCAGUACGCCUGCUUUGGGAGCAGGAGGUCGCAGGUUCAAAUCCUGCCACCCCGA